GCCAUCAAGAGAGACCAAGACAGAGGCUGUUUUUAAAAACCCCUACUAUACUAGCACUCGCUGUGUGCAGCGGUCUGCUGACGGAGCAGGAUGCAGCCCAGAGAGAGGUUGACUCAAGUCCCUCUGAGACCAAAUCCACAGAACCUCCAGAUAAACCACUGUGACUAACAGGCACACACCAGAAUGAUUCUUAUGAUGGCAGUCUGACGGGACCAGCAGUUAAAGAAACAUGGGUUACGGCCAAAUUCCACCAGAUCCGUGCUUGGUCCAUCACGGCACCGGAUCUGAU